CCGGAAGAUGCGCCUCAACGUCCUCUUCAUCCCCAACCAAGGAAUUGAACCGGAACCUCUCCAAUCGCCCGCAAAUUCGCCGCUACCCAACUCCAACAGCCGGUGCACCCCCGACGCCAUCUCCCUUGCCCCGGUUUGCCUCCAGACGCCGAAGCCAUCUCCAACCAGAGCUCCUUCACGAUGACCGCCAUGGCUACUCAGUUUCAUCUCCGCCACGGGUUGGUUCAAGUUGCCCCGCGCCCUAAUCUUGUCACCAUCCGAACAGACAUCACAGUGAUCCCGCAGGCCUAGAUGGUUUUCUUUCAUGUGGCCUCUUCUAAAUCAACAAUAGCAGCUAGCUCAUCUGGUUCGUUCGGCCCAAUUCGUUGCAUGAGAUCCCGUGUUCAAUUCCUGUUGGAGGCGAAAUUACCUUGCCAGUCUUUUUCUGCUCCAGAUCCGCUGUUGGGUCCCGACCCGUGUUCCUCCCGGUGCAGCCCAUCGCGCGCGCGGCCCAAAGCUAACCGUCGCCGCUCGCAGGCCAGAACUGGGCCGGCCCACGCGUGCCAGACCUUUCCUCCCGCCGGCCAGCAUUUGCUUCUUCCCGGAUAGGAUCACGAAGUGGUGAUGUGAGAUACGACGAGUUCUCCGACAAGUUCUCCUGCAGCUUUUCACAGGCGAGCCCACCCCUUCACCUAUUUUACUUUUACAUGCUCUUUUGAUCUAUUGCUAUCCUUGUGUUGCGAUUCUGUUGUGUCACGUGUCCUAUCCACCUGUUACCUAUAUGUCCGAGAUACACCUCCUCGCCCUACCUAUUGUUUGUUGUUUGCCAGCUUUGCGAGUCGUAGGCGAGUUUAGGGUCAUGUUGAUAUCUCGAGAUGUUCGGGAUAUCUUGUUGGGAGGUUAUCACAUGCUAUAUCUUUUGUUGGAGAUAAUCACACUUUAUUUUAUUGUUAACAACUAAAAUUGUAAGCAGAGGCAUCUGUGAGCCCCUUUGCGAAAGCAUCGGAACUUUGACUUGCUAAUGUCCCCUAGGACCCGAGUUCUUGUUAUCUGUUCCGAGAUUGAGCGCUCUACCCGUACGUGGGGGAGUGGGACCCCCAUCACCCACUACCUUUCCUCGAGUCUGUUUAUUGGGAGCCACAACCUUGGUUUUAUUUUGCUCAUAUGCAUGAUGCACGAUUUACUUCUGUUGCCUUCGGGUGUU